UGUGUUUGAAACACCGCUUUUCUUAUUUCAUCGUUUCACGCUCUCUCUUCUCCGCCGUAGAAAAUUCUAAGGUUUCUAUCGAUUCCCUGAUCCAGCAAUCAAUCUGCACAGUAGCAAAUCUAGAGUUUGGAGCAGUUUAUUCAUAUUUUUCCUACUAAUCCAAUAUAAUCAAUCGGUGGAGGUUCCUCUAUAAUAAGCAAGGAUGGGAAGCUAUCAGUUGAACAGUUACAGGCCCUAACUGUGAAAGUUUUAAGAUUGUAGCGUUAGUACGUGGAAACGUUUUCGUGAUAAAAAUUUCUUCAUACUGUCUGGCAUAGGCCGAAGAAGCUACACACGAGUAAAGGAUGAGGAGUGCUAGGCAGAUGAGUGGAAGUUGAAAGAAGAAGAAAAAGCUCAACAAGCCUAAAAAGAAGAUACAUCUGCCUUAAAGUUUGAAUAACAAAACACUUUUCCACCCCUCCCAUUCUAACUGUCAUUCUGCCAACAGAAACAAACUUCACGGUGAAGGAUAGAUACAAUACAAGUAUUAUGGACAUCAACAGCAGUUUGCAGAGGGACGGUGUCUUAGUACAUCUUCAUCAUAAAGAAGGUAUGCAGUUUCAGAUGGGUGAGAUCGGGAGAGGUCAUUUUGGUUGCACUUGCUCUGCCAGCCUAAGUUCAAGAAAGAGAGCUCAAGGGUCAGGAGGUUGCUGUUAAAGUCACCCCAAAACCAAAGGUUUGUAUAACAUGAGAAUAGCUAUUUCUGAGUCCCAGGAAAAAGAAGCCAGAAGAUAAAUAGCGGAGCUACCGAAGCAGCCGCAGAAAGCAACUCAAAGGCUGAUGAAGAAAAAUUAUUCACUGUCACAGUGAAGCAAAAUCAUUCACUGAAGAGCUUCGAAAGUCUCAAGAAGAAGCAGAGCAAGCAAAGGCUGGGGCAAGUACAAUGGAUACCAUUUUAUUUGCAACUUAGGAAUAAACUAAGGCUGCUAAGGGUUCAGAAGAAGAAUAGAAGGGUCAAAGGCGAGAAACUGAGUCUAGGAAGUAGGAACUGAACAAACCCAAUCUCACAAGGAAAUCACAUAAGUUAGUCUGAUGUGAAGAAGUUGAUUAUGUAAGAUCUGUUUUAUAAAUGCAUAAGUCUACGUUAUAAUAGAAGAGUUAAGUCAUAUCAGUUUCUGAAUUUUAGUUACCACCAGUAACUUACUUUAUUAAUAACAUUUUAUUUCAAAAGCU